AUUGAACGCUGGCGGCAGGCUUAACACAUGCAAGUCGAGCGAGCGGCGGACGGGUGAGUAAUGUCUGGGAAACUGCCUGAUGGAGGGGGAUAACUACUGGAAACGGUAGCUAAUACCGCAUACCAUCAGAUGUGCCCAGAUGGGAUUAGCUAGUGGGUGGGGUAAUGGCUCACCAAGGCGACGAUCCCUAGCUGGUCUGAGAGGAUGAUCAGCCACACUGGACAUGAGAAACGGCCCAGGCGCCUACGGGAGGCAGCAGAGGGGAAUAUUGCACAAUGGGCGCAAGCCUGAUGCAGCCAGGCCGCGUGUAUGAAGAAGGCAUUAGGGUUGUAAAGUACUUUCAGCGGGGAGGCGUUACCCGCAGAAGAAGCACCGGCUAACUCCGUGCCAGCCGCCGCGGUAAUAC
rnacentral:rRNA from 1 species